GAAGUACGGCCGCAAGGUUAAAACUCAAAUGAAUUGACGGGGGCCCGCACAAGCGGUGGAGCAUGUGGUUUAAUUCGAUGCAACGCGAAGAACCUUACCUACUCUUGACAUCCAGAGAAUUUAGCAGAGAUGCUUUAGUGCCUUCGGGAACUCUGAGACAGGUGCUGCAUGGCUGUCGUCAGCUCGUGUUGUGAAAUGUUGGGUUAAGUCCCGCAACGAGCGCAACCCUUAUCCUUUGUUGCCAGCACAUUAUGGUGGGAACUCAAAGGAGACUGCCGGUGAUAAACCGGAGGAAGGUGGGGAUGACGUCAAGUCAUCAUGGCCCUUACGAGUAGGGCUACACACGUGCUACAAUGGCGUAUACAAAGAGAAGCGACCUCGCGAGAGCAAGCGGAACUCAUAAAGUACGUCGUAGUCCGGAUUGGAGUCUGCAACUCGACUCCAUGAAGUCGGAAUCGCUAGUAAUCGUAGAUCAGAAUGCUACGGUGAAUACGUUCCCGGGCCUUGUACACACCGCCCGUCACACCAUGGGAGUGGGUUGCAAAAGAAGUAGGUAGCUUAACCUUCGGGAGGGCGCUUACCACUUUGUGAUUCAUGACUGGGGUGAAGUCGUAACAAGGUAACCA
rnacentral:rRNA from 1 species